rnacentral:rRNA from 1 species
CCAACAGGGAUUGCCUCAGUAACGGCGAGUGAAGCGGCAACAGCUCAAAUUUGAAAUCUGGCCUCUUCGGGGUCCGAGUUGUAAUUUGUAGAGGGCGUUUCGGGUGCGGCGCCGGUCUAAGUCCCUUGGAACAGGGCGUCAUAGAGGGUGAGAAUCCCGUAUGUGACUGGCCGCCAACCCCAUGUGAAACCCCUUCGACGAGUCGAGUUGUUUGGGAAUGCAGCUCAAAAUGGGUGGUAAAUUUCAUCUAAAGCUAAAUACCGGCCAGAGACCGAUAGCGCACAAGUAGAGUGAUCGAAAGAUGAAAAGCACUUUGGAAAGAGAGUCAAAAAGUACGUGAAAUUGUUGAAAGGGAAGCGCUUGCGACCAGACCUGUCCGUCGGUGAUCAGCCUCGGUUUUCCGGGGUGCACUCGCCGGCGAUCAGGCCAGCAUCGGUUCGGGCGGUGGGAUAAAGGCCUUGGGAAUGUAGCUUCCUCUCGGGGAAGUGUUAUAGCCCUCGGUGCAAUGCCGCCAGCCCGGAUCGAGGACCGCGCUUCGGCUAGGAUGCUGGCGUAAUGGUCGUAAGCGACCCGUCUUGAAACACGGACCAAGGAGUCUAAUAUUUAUGCGAGUGUUUGGGUGUCAAACCCAUACGCGUAAUGAAAGUGAACGGAGGUGAGAACCCUUAAGGGCGCAUCAUCGACCGAUCCAGAUGUCUUCGGAUGGAUUUGAGUACGAGCAUAACUAUUGGGACCCGAAAGGUAUGUCCACACUGCAAUAUUGAGAUCCCAUGUGACGUGCUAACUCAAGUCAGAUGGUGAACUAUGCCUGAAUAGGGUGAAGCCAGAGGAAACUCUGGUGGAGGCUCGCAGCGGUUCUGACGUGCAAAUCGAUCGUCAAAUUUGGGUAUAGGGGCGUGCUUUCGCCCCUGACAGGCCGUUCUCCUUGGGAACACGGCUUCUAGUCUCUUGAGGCGAGGUCUAUGAUCUGCGGGGAUGUCUGGUCGACCCAGACUGCCCGCCCCCGGCCCUCUUGGGCUCGGGUCACAGGUCAAGCAUGGGCCGGUGGACGGUUUCCGGCCACUCUUGAUAUGAUCGACUCCGGGGUUGAUAGAGCCCCGGGUGCUUGGGAAAGACUAAUCGAACCAUCUAGUAGUAAGUUGGAUCCGCUGGCAGGACCUUAGAUAAAAAAGCUAACAGAUAUUUUUUUAGGCUGGUUCCUGCCGAAGUUUCCCUCAGGAUAGCAGUAACGUUUUCAGUUUUAUGAGGUAAAGCGAAUGAUUAGAGGCCUUGGGGUUGAAACAACCUUAACCUAUUCUCAAACUUUAAAUAUGUAAGAAGUCCUUGUUACUUAGUUGAACGUGGACAUUUGAAUGUACCGUUACUAGUGGGCCAUUUUUGGUAAGCAGAACUGGCGAUGCGGGAUGAACCGAACGCGAGGUUAAGGUGCCGGAAUGUACGCUCAUCAGACACCACAAAAGGUGUUGAUUCAUCUAGACAGCCGGACGGUGGCCAUGGAAGUCGGAACCCGCUAAGGAGUGUGUAGCCGAGUUGUUGCACACGAGAGCUUGGCCCCUUGGGCCUUGCUAACGGCGAUCUCCCCCGGGAGGCCCGCCUGUGAUAGCUCUAAGAUGCCUGGAUGCGCCCCCCAAUAGGGGUGUCACCGGCAGUGGGGUUCCCCCCAUCCACAGACUAAGCAGAGCUGAUCGGGGCGAUGACGCCCCGGUGAAGAUAUAGUCGUCUUGGGCCCUGAGAAGGCGCCUGCCCGCGAGAACAACUCACCGGCCGAAUGAAUCAGCCCUGAAAAUGGAUGGCGCUCAAGCGUGCUACCCAUACCUCGCCGCCAGGGUAGAAACGAUGCCCUGGCGAGUAGGCAGGCGUGGAGGUCAGUGACGAAGCC